rnacentral:rRNA from 1 species
CCUCAGUAACGGCGAGUGAAGCGGCAACAGCUCAAAUUUGAAAUCUGGCCGCAAGGUCCGAGUUGUAAUUUGCAGAGGAUGCUUUUGGCGAGGUGCCUUCCGAGUUCCCUGGAACGGGACGCCAUAGAGGGUGAGAGCCCCGUACGGUUGGACCACCGAGCCUCUGUAAAGCUCCUUCGACGAGUCGAGUAGUUUGGGAAUGCUGCUCUAAAUGGGAGGUGUACGUCUUCUAAAGCUAAAUACCGGCCAGAGACCGAUAGCGCACAAGUAGAGUGAUCGAAAGAUGAAAAGCACUUUGAAAAGAGGGUUAAAAAGUACGUGAAAUUGUUGAAAGGGAAGCGUUUAUGACCAGACUUGGGCUUGGUUGAACAUCCGGCGUUCUCGCCGGUGCACUCUGCCAGUCCAGGCCAGCAUCAGUUUGUCCCGGGGGAUAAAGGCGGUGGGAAUGUGGCUCCCCCGGGAGUGUUAUAGCCCGCCGUGCAAUGCCCUGGGACGGACUGAGGAACGCGCUUACGGCACGGAUGC